AUUGAACGCUGGCGGCAGGCCUAACACUUGCAAGUCGAACGAGCGGCGGACGGGUGAGUAAUGUCUGGGAAACUGCCUGCUGGGGGGGGGUAACUACUGGAAACGGUAGCUAAUACCGCAUACCAUCAGAUGUGCCCAGGUGGGUUUAGCUAGUUGGUGGGGUAACGGCUCACCUAGGCGACGAUCCCUAGCUGGUCUGAGAGGAUGACCAGCCACACUGGAACUGAGACACGGUCCAGACUCCUACGGGAGGCAGCAGUGGGGAAUAUUGCACAAUGGGCGCAAGCCUGAUGCAGCCAUGCCGCGUGUGUGAAGAAGGCCUUCGGGUUGUAAAGCACUUUCAGCGGGGAGGCGUUACCCGCAGAAGAAGCACCGGCUAACUCCGUGCCAGCAGCCGCGGUAAUAC
rnacentral:rRNA from 1 species